rnacentral:rRNA from 1 species
GACGAACGCUGGCGGCGUGCUUAACACAUGCAAGUCGAACGCUGAAGACCUGGCUUUUGUUGGGUUGGAUGAGUGGCGAACGGGUGAGUAACACGUGAGUAACCUGCCCUCUUCUUUGGGAUAAAGCCCGGAAACGGGCGCUAAUACUGGAUAUUCACUGAUCUUCGCAUGGGGGUUGGUGGAAAGGUUUGUUCUGGUGGGGGAUGGGCUCGCGGCCUAUCAGCUUGUUGGUGGGGUGAUGGCCUACCAAGGCUUUGACGGGUAGCCGGCCUGAGAGGGUGGCCGGUCACAUUGGGACUGAGAUACGGCCCAGACUCCUACGGGAGGCAGCAGUGGGGAAUAUUGCACAAUGGGCGAAAGCCUGAUGCAGCGACGCCGCGUGAGGGAUGGAGGCCUUCGGGUUGUAAACCUCUUUCGCUCAUGGUCAAGCCGCAACUGUGGGUUGUGGUGAGGGUAGUGGGUAAAGAAGCGCCGGCUAACUACGUG